AUGUGUAGCAGUGCGCGCCUGCUGCCUUCUGCCACCAGGUGGCGCCUGGGCUUAUAAAAGGGCACUCCCCGUAGCGUCUCGUUCUCUGACCUCGGCGCACUUCCGGGAUAGGGCUCCGCCUUGUCGCGCACAGUGCCACCGCUCCUAGAGUCUCGACGUGCCUGAUCGAAGUUAUGGCUCGUGAGUAAAGCUCCUGCAUGUAUUUGCUGUUGAUCGCCACAAGCGCCACUGUUAGCCGCUGUCCACGGUUGGGUCGGUGUUGCUGUCAGAUGCCCCGGCCGCUCGGCGUCAAGCCUCGUGGAUGUAGAAGCGUGUGUUUUGUGGGUCCAGGGUGGUCUUCGGCACGUCAUCUGGUGGAGCGGUGGCCCUGUGAACGAGCUGCUGCUUUGUUUUACUGUGUUUUUAAUUUUAAGGACAAAAUCACCGUACAGCUGCUUUUGGUGACUGUGUUAUCGGCAGUUAUGUGAACAGUGAAUAGUCUACUCUUAAAGUUAAUCUAACAAAUGAAUUAUGGCAAUAAUAAAUAAUUUCAUGUUUUGUAA